GGAGAAAUUGCACAGGUAAACUCUACUGAGCCAUUCAGUAAAUUCUACUGAACCACUCUAAUUACCAUUUAAUGAUGACUCUUACAACUGAAUUCAACCAAGAUGAGCAAUACCAUCUGCAUGAUAGCUGGAGAGAAAUUUUGGUUGUGGAUCCAUUUCCUUUAUUUGCUGGAAUAAAAACCCUUUCGUUGAGAAGACUCCACCUAAAGAUUCAGUCUGGAGCACUUCCAAUAAUCAUACUUUCCUGGGCACCCUGAUUUUUUUUUUCUGUAUAACAUUUACUAUUUUCUGUUCUCUGUGUCAUUUCUUAUGGAUGCAUUCACAGUCGCUUUCUUAUAUGAAAUAAAAGUUGGUGUAAUAAAACAGAUCUCAGAGAGGCAUUUUUAACAUGUGGCUGUUUUAGAUAUGGUCCUGGCUGCUUCGAAGCUCUUGGAUGGAGUCCCCAUCCUGAAUUCUCUUAGCGUCAAUCCCCCCGUUGACGGAAUGAGAGCUGCCCACCUCUCACAGUGCUGUUGGAAGGGCCUAUUGGGAUGCCAGUUAGGAAGUCGCUUGGCUAAUCAGAACGUGCUGCAUGAGUAUAAAAUGCUGCAGAGCACCAAAAGAGCAGACCUGAGCACCAAAAGAGAAGAAUGUGUGAACAGCCUUGAACUCUGCAAAGGAAGAGGAGGGACGAAUUCAGGUGGACUUCUGAUAUCUCAUGCUGGAGUUCUCAACAGUAAAAUCUAUUUUCUGUUUCAUUCUUUUUAUCUUAUAUUAACCAUACAUUCAUCAAAAUUUCUUCCAAGUUGGGAAACCAACAUAUAUAUGAAAUUUAUAUCUAUCUAUAUCUAUCUAUCAUCUAUCUAUCUUCUAUCUAUAUGUGUGUGUGUGUGUAUGUGUGUGAAAAUGGGAAAACCUACCUUCUAUUUGG
rnacentral:lncRNA from 1 species